UGUAGGUUUAGGUUAAGGUUAUAGGUUUAGGUUAUAGGUUUAGGUUAUAGGUGUAGGUUUAGGUUAUAGGUUUAGGUUUAGGUUAGGGAGUUGAGAUUAGGAUUUGGUGUAGGUUUAGGUUUAGGGAUUUGAGAAUACAUUUAGGUU